ACUGAGGUUUGGAACGGCUAAGUGAUCUGGAUCACUUGGCAAAUUCAUCACAAAGUCAGGAUCUGGCUACACACUGGUCUUUCAAACACAAGCUCUUUCUACCAAAACCAAGUUACCUUAAAUUCAGGGACAAGGCUACUUUGCCGCCUCAGCUAGCCUCGAUCCUGGCACAGAGCAUCUCAAACAGAUUAGGCAUUACUUGCGCCCUGUAGUUGAUAAAGUUUGAUUUUGCGUACUACAGAGACAGGCACUAAUUACAGGCCGGUGUUCUGGGUGGGGAAAGAAAGCAGAAGAAUUUAGGAUUUGAACGACUCUCAGUCUUUCCUUGACGCCCAUCUCUAUGGUUGGCAUAUAGCCAUUCUAUACUCUGGAGGACUCAGCGAGCAUGGCCAAUCAUUAGGCCACUUUAUGGGCACGUGGCCGGAAGUGCCGCUUGCUACUGGUUAAUAGCAGUAAAGCCCGCCCAACCACGUCCUGUCAGCUACUUUAAGCAGAAGCUCGGCCAGAGCCGCUUUCCUUUCAGCGACUGUGAAGCUAGGAGGUUUUGGUCGUAGGUGUUGUGACCCAAGAUCCCGGCCGGGAGGACGUCGGAUCUCGGUGUUCUCCCAAUCUUUCGACCCUCCCCCAAAGCCCCUCAAUAAAGUGCAUUGAUCUCA